rnacentral:rRNA from 1 species
UCCACCCGUGUUGCCCGAACCUAUGUUGCCUCGGCGGGCCCCGCGCCCGCCGACGGCCCCCCUGAACGCUGUCUGAAGUUGCAGUCUGAGACCUAUAACGAAAUUAGUUAAAACUUUCAACAACGGAUCUCUUGGUUCCGGCAUCGAUGAAGAACGCAGCGAAAUGCGAUAACUAAUGUGAAUUGCAGAAUUCAGUGAAUCAUCGAGUCUUUGAACGCACAUUGCGCCCUCUGGUAUUCCGGAGGGCAUGCCUGUCCGAGCGUCAUUGCUGCCCUCAAGCCCGGUUGGUGUGUUGGGCCCCGUCCCCCCCGCCGGGGGGACGGGCCCGAAAGGCAGCGGCGGCACCGCGUCCGGUCCUCGAGCGUAUGGGGCUUCGUCACCCGCUCUAGUAGGCCCGGCCGGCGCCAGCCGACCCCCAACCUUUAAUUAUCUCAGGUUGACCUCGGAUCAGGUAGGGAUACCCGCUGAACUUAAGCAUAUCAUA